rnacentral:rRNA from 1 species
UACGGAGGGUGCAAGCGUUAUCCGGAUUCACUGGGUUUAAAGGGUGCGUAGGUGGGCAGUUAAGUCAGUGGUGAAAUCUCCGGGCUCAACCCGGAAACUGCCAUUGAUACUAUCUGUCUUGAAUAUCGUGGAGGUAAGCGGAAUAUGUCAUGUAGCGGUGAAAUGCUUAGAUAUGACAUGGAACACCAAUUGCGAAGGCAGCUUACUACCCGAAUAUUGACACUGAGGCACGAAAGCGUGGGGAUCAAACAGG